GAUGAACGCUGGCGGCGUGCCUAAUACAUGCAAGUCGAGCGAACAGACGAGGAGCUUGCUCCUCUGACGUUAGCGGCGGACGGGUGAGUAACACGUGGAUAACCUACCUAUAAGACUGGGAUAACUUCGGGAAACCGGAGCUAAUACCGGAUAAUAUAUUGAACCGCAUGGUUCAAUAGUGAAAGACGGUUUUGCUGUCACUUAUAGAUGGAUCCGCGCCGCAUUAGCUAGUUGGUAAGGUAACGGCUUACCAAGGCAACGAUGCGUAGCCGACCUGAGAGGGUGAUCGGCCACACUGGAACUGAGACACGGUCCAGACUCCUACGGGAGGCAGCAGUAGGGAAUCUUCCGCAAAGGGCGAAAGCUUGACGGAGCAACGCCGCGUGAGUGAUGAAGGUCUUCGGAUCGUAAAACUCUGUUAUUAGGGAAGAACAAAUGUGUAAGUAACUGUGCACGUCUUGACGGUACCUAAUCAGAAAGCCACGGCUAACUACGUG
rnacentral:rRNA from 1 species